CUUGGUCAUUUAGAGGAAGUAAAAGUCGUAACAAGGUCUCCGUUGGUGAACCAGCGGAGGGAUCAUUACAAGAAGCCGAAAGGCUACUUCAAACCAUCGCGAACUCGUCCAAGUUGCUUCGGCGGCGCGGCUCCCCUAACCGGGCGCCGCAGCCCCGCCUCCUCGGAGGCGUGGCACCCGCCGGAGGUACUAAACCCUUCUGUAUUAUAGCGGCAUCUCUGAGUAAAACAAACAAGUUAAAACUUUCAACAACGGAUCUCUUGGCUCUGGCAUCGAUGAAGAACGCAGCGAAAUGCGAUAAGUAAUGUGAAUUGCAGAAUUCAGUGAAUCAUCGAAUCUUUGAACGCACAUUGCGCCCGCUAGUACUCUAGCGGGCAUGCCUGUUCGAGCGUCAUUUCAACCCUCAAGCACUGCUUGGUGUUGGGGCCCUACGGCUGCCGUAGGCCCUGAAAGGAAGUGGCGGGCUCGCUGCAACUCCGAGCGUAGUAAUUCAUUAUCUCGCUAGGGAGGCGCGGCGCGCUCCUGCCGUUAAAGACCCCCAUCUUUAACCAAGGUUGACCUCGGAUCAGGUAGGAAUACCCCGCUGAACUUAAGCAUAUCAAUAAGCGGAGGA
rnacentral:rRNA from 1 species